rnacentral:rRNA from 1 species
UGGGCAACCUGCCCUCAGCUCUGGGAUAACUCCGGGAAACCGGGGCUAAUACCGGAUACGACUUGGGUCGACAUCGACCUGGGUGGAAAGAAUCUCGGCUGAGGAUGGGCCCGCGGCCUAUCAUGCUUGAUGGUGAGGUAACGGCCCACCAUGGCGACGACGGGUAGCCGGCCUGAGAGGGUGACCGGCCACACUGGGACUGAGACACGGCCCAGACUCCUACGGGAG